rnacentral:rRNA from 1 species
GUUUGAUCCUGGCUCAGAAUCAACGCUGGCGGCGCGCUUAACACAUGCAAGUCGCACGAGAAAGUGGAGCAAUCCAUGAGUAAAGUGGCGUACGGGUGAGUAGCACGUGGAUAAUCUACCUUCUAGUGGGGAAUAACCCUGGGAAACCGGGGCUAAUACCGCAUAAGCUCGUGAGAGGAAAGCAGCAAUGCGCUGGAAGAGGAGUCCGCGGCUGAUUAGCUAGUUGGCGGGGUAACGGCCCACCAAGGCGAAGAUCGGUAGCCGGCCUGAGAGGGCACACGGCCACACUGGCACUGAAACACGGGCCAGACUCCUACGGGAGGCAGCAGUGGGGAAUCUUGCACAAUGGAGGAAACUCUGAUGCAGCGACGCCGCGUGAGCGAUGAAGCCCUUCGGGGUGUAAAGCUCUUUCGACGGGAACGAUAAUGACGGUACCCGAAGAAGAAGCUGCGGCUAACUACGUGCCAGCAGCCGCGGUAAUACGUAGGCAGCGAGCGUUGUUCGGAAUUACUGGGCGUAAAGAGUGUGUAGGCGGUGUUCUAAGUCUGUUGUGAAAUCUCCCGGCUCAACUGGGAGGGUGCGGCGGAGACUGGAAUGCUAGAGUAUGGGAGAGGUAAGCGGAAUUCCUGGUGUAGCGGUGAAAUGCGUAGAUAUCAGGAGGAACACCUGUGGUGUAGACAGCUUACUGGACCAUGACUGACGCUGAGACACGAAAGCGUGGGUAGCAAACAGGAUUAGAUACCCUGGUAGUCCACGCCCUAAACGAUGCAUACUUGGUGUGAGCCAUUCAUUUGGUUCGUGCCGGAGCUAACGCGUUAAGUAUGCCGCCUGGGGAGUACGGUCGC